UUAUGGUUUAUAAAUUUUAUUUUAAAUUUAUUUUACAUAUAAAUUUUAGUAUUAAUUUUAUUUUAUUUAAAUAAUAAUUUAUUUUUAUAUGUAGUAAUUAAUAUUAAAUUAUUUAAGAAAUUAAGAUUUAGUGAUAUUUAAAUUAAUAACAAAUUUUGUGCCAGCAGUUGCGGUUAUACAAAAAUUAAAUUAAAUUUUGUUGAUAAUUAAUAAAUAAUUUGUUUAUUAUAAUAAAAAUUUUAAAUUAUUAAGUGAAAUUUUAAUUUAAUAAAAUUUUAUAGUUGUUUUAUGAUUUAAUAAAUUUUAUGAAAAACUAGGAUUAGAUACCCUAUUAUUAAAAUUUAAAAUUAAAAUAUCAAAAUAGUAAAUAAUUAUUUAUUGAAACUUAAAUAAUUUGGCGGUAUUUUAGUUCAUUUAGAGGAAUCUGUUUAUUAAUUGAUAAUCCACGAAUAAAUUUACUUAAUUUAUUAUUUUGUAUAUCGUUGUUAAAUAAAUAUUUUUUAAUAAAAUUAAUAUUUAAAAAUUAUUAUUUUAAUUUAAAUCAGAUCAAGAUGCAGAUUAUAAUUAAGAAUAUAAUGGAUUACAAUAAAUUUAUUUAAAUGAAUAUUAAUUUGUAAAAAUUAAUUGAAAGUGGAUUUAAAUGUAAUUUUAUUUAAUUUAAUAAAAUGAUUAAAAAUUAAAAUAUGUACAUAUUGCCCGUCGCUUUCAUAUAAUAAAUAAAAUUGAAAUAAGUCGUAACAAAGUAGAGGUACUGGAAAGUGUUUCUAGAAAGAA
rnacentral:ncRNA from 1 species